rnacentral:rRNA from 1 species
AUUGAACGCUGGCGGAAUGCUUUACACAUGCAAGUCGAACGGCAGCACGGACUUCGGUCUGGUGGCGAGUGGCGAACGGGUGAGUAAUGUACCGGAACGUGCCCAGUCGUGGGGGAUAACGUAGUGAAAAUUACGCUAAUACCGCAUACGAUCUAUGGAUGAAAGCGGGGGAUCGCAAGACCUCGCGCGAUUGGAGCGGCCGAGAUCAGAUUAGGUAGUUGGUGGGGUAAAGGCCCACCAAGCCAACGAUCUGUAGCUGGUCUGAGAGGACGACCAGCCACACUGGAACUGAGACACGGUCCAGACUCCUACGGGAGGCAGCAGUGGGGAAUUUUGGACAAUGGACGCAAGUCUGAUCCAGCCAUUCCGCGUGCAGGAUGAAGGCCCUCGGGUUGUAAACUGCUUUUGUACGGAACGAAAAGGUCUCUCUUAAUACGGGGGGCUCAUGACGGUACCGUAAGAAUAAGCACCGGCUAACUACGUGCCAGCCGCCGCGGUAA